AGUGAACGCUGGCGGUAGGCCUAACACAUGCAAGUCGAACGGCAGCACAGUAAGAGCUUGCUCUUACGGGUGGCGAGUGGCGGACGGGUGAGGAAUACAUCGGAAUCUACUUUUUCGGGGGGGAUAACGCAGGGAAACUUACGCUAAUACCGCAUACGACCUACGGGUGAAAGCAGGGGAUCUUCGGACCUUGCGGGAGUGAAUGAGCCGAUGUCGGAUUAGCUAGUUAGCGGGGUAAAGGCGCACCAAGGCGACGAUCCGUAGCUGGUCCGAGAGGGUCGUCAGCCACCUUGGCACAGAGGCACGGUCCACACUCCUACGGUAGGCAGCAGUGCAGAAUAUUGCACGAUGGGCGAAUGCCGGAUCUAGGCAUACCGCGGAGGUGAAGAAGGCCUUCUGGUGGUAAAGCGCUGUUGUUGGUAAAGAAAAACAGCAGGUUAAUCCCCCGCUGUUCUGACGGUACCCAAAGAAUAAGCACCGGCUAACUUCGCG
rnacentral:rRNA from 1 species